UGGGGAAUUUUGGACAAUGGGGGCAACCCUGAUCCAGCCAUCCCGCGUGUGCGAUGAAGGCCUUCGGGUUGUAAAGCACUUUUGGCAGGGAAGAAACAGCCUGGGCUAAUAUCCCGGGCGACUGACGGUACCUGCAGAAUAAGCACCGGCUAACUACGUGCCAGCAGCCGCGGUAAUACGUAGGGUGCAAGCGUUAAUCGGAAUUACUGGGCGUACAGCGUGCGCAGGCGGUUCGGAAAGAAAGGUGUGAAAUCCCAGGGCUUAACCUUGGAACUGCACUUUUAACUACCGGGCUAGAGUACGUCAGAGGGGGGUAGAAUUCCACGUGUAGCAGUGAAAUGCGUAGAGAUGUGGAGGAAUACCGAUGGCGAAGGCAGCCCCCUGGGAUGAUACUGACGCUCAUGCACGAAAGCGUGGG
rnacentral:rRNA from 1 species